AACGAACGCUGGCGGCAUGCCUAACACAUGCAAGUCGAACGAGACCUUCGGGUCUAGUGGCGCACGGGUGCGUAACGCGUGGGAACCUGCCCUUAGGUUCGGAAUAACUCCCCGAAAGGGGUGCUAAUACCGGAUAAUGUCUUCGGACCAAAGAUUUAUCGCCUUUGGAUGGGCCCGCGUUGGAUUAGCUAGUUGUUAGGGUAAUAGCCUACCAAGGCGACGAUCCAUAGCUGGUCUGAGAGGAUGAUCAGCCACACUGGGACUGGGACACGGCCCAGACUCUUCCGGGAAGCAGCAGUGGGGAAUAUUGGACAAUGGGCGAAAGCCUGAUCCAGCAAUGCCGCGUGAGUGAUGAAGGCCUUAGGGUUGUAAAGCUCUUUUACCCGGGAUGAUAAUGACAGUACCGGGAGAAUAAGCUCCGGCUAACUCCGUG
rnacentral:rRNA from 1 species